CCUACGGGAGGCAGCAGUGAGGAAUAUUGGUCAAUGGACGAGAGUCUGAACCAGCCAAGUAGCGUGAAGGAUGACUGCCCUAUGGGUUGUAAACUUCUUUUAUAAAGGAAUAAAACGAGGCACGUGUGCCUUUUUGUAUGUACUUUAUGAAUAAGGAUCGGCUAACUCCGUGCCAGCAGCCGCGGUAAUACGGAGGAUGCGAGCGUUAUCCGGAUUUAUUGGGUUUAAGGGGUGCGUAGGCGGGCUUUUAAGUCAGCGGUAAAAUUUCGGGGCUCAACCCCGUCCGGACGUUGAGACUGGGGGCCUUGAGUGGGCGAGAAGAAGGCGGAAGGCGUGGUGUAGCGGUGAAAUGCAUAGAUAUCACGCAGAACCCCGAUUGCGAAGGCAGCCUUCCGGCGCCCUACUGACGCUGAGGCACGAAAGUGCGGGGAUCGAACAGGAUUAGAUACCCGGGUAGUC
rnacentral:rRNA from 1 species